CCCAGACUCCUAUGGGAGGCAGCAGUGGGGGAUAUUGCACAAUGGGGGGAACCCUGAUGCAGCGACGCCGCGUGGGUGAAGGAGCGUUUCGGCGCGUAAAGCCCUAUCGGCAGGGAAGAAGGAGGACGGUACCUGACUAAGAAGCCCCGGCUAACUACGUGCCAGCAGCCGCGGUAAUACGUAGGGGGCAAGCGUUAUCCGGAUUUACUGGGUGUAAAGGGGGCGCAGACGGCAGCGCAAGCCAGGAGUGAAAGCCCGGGGCCCAACCCCGGGACUGCUCUUGGAACUGCGCGGCUGGAGUGCAGGAGGGGCAGGCGGAAUUCCUGGUGUAGCGGUGAAAUGCGUAGAUAUCAGGAGGAACACCGGUGGCGAAGGCGGCCUGCUGGACUGCGACUGACGUUGAGGCCCGAAAGCGUGGGGAGCAAACAGGAUUAGAUACCCCCGUACAC
rnacentral:rRNA from 1 species